rnacentral:rRNA from 1 species
AUGGCGACCGGCGCACGGGUGAGUAACACGUAUCCAACCUGCCGAUGACUCGGGGAUAGCCUUUCGAAAGAAAGAUUAAUACCCGAUGGCAUAGUUCUUCCGCAUGGUAGAACUAUUAAAGAAUUUCGGUCAUCGAUGGGGAUGCGUUCCAUUAGCUUGUUGGCGGGGUAACGGCCCACCAAGGCAUCGAUGGAUAGGGGUUCUGAGAGGAAGGUCCCCCACAUUGGAACUGAGACACGGUCCAAACUCCUACGGAAGGCAGCA